CAAUAGCGUAUAUUAACGUUGUUGCAGUUAAAAAGCUCGUAGUUGGAUUUGUGGAGGGAGCGUCGGCCCGUAUUUACGAGUGCGUGACGUCUCUGUCCAUCCUUGCGGGAAGGCACGGCAUUGAUUUGUUGUGUCGGAUCGCAUCAUUUACUGUGAAAAAAUUAGAGUGUUCAAAGCAGGCUUUCGCUUGAAUACAUUAGCAUGGAAUAAUAAGAUAGGACUUUGGUGCUGUUUUGUUGGUUGAGCCUAAAGUAAUGAUUAAUAGGGAUAGUUGGGGGCACCUGUAUUGCGUUGUCAGAGGUGAAAUUCUUGGAUUUACGCAAGACAAACAGCUGCGAAAGCGUCUGCCAAGGAUGUUUUCAUUAA
rnacentral:rRNA from 1 species